GAGGCCUGCUCCAGGUAUCAUCCUACAGCAAUAAGAAUCUCACCUUGCGAUAUCACCUUUCAUCCUUCCGAGUCUUGCGUCUCAUGUCCGAUCUAUCUCUACCUGGAGCUCCACCUCGUACUGGACUCCUCCUGGCUCCUAAAGCUCCAUCUCGCACUGGGCUCCCCAUCAGGUAAUAAUAUCCUUUCAUCUUCUUCUUCUCCUCUAGAAU
rnacentral:lncRNA from 1 species